UAGCAGGUAUGUUGCGGUGUACUAAAGA
rnacentral:sRNA from 1 species